CCGGACCGGCGCACGGGUGAGUAACGCGUAUGCAACUUACCUAUCAGAGGGGGAUAACCCGGCGAAAGUCGGACUAAUACCGCAUGAAGCAGGGCCCGCAUGGGGAUAUUUGCUAAAGAUUCAUCGCUGAUAGAUAGGCAUGCGUUCCAUUAGGCAGUUGGCGGGGUAACGGCCCACCAAACCGACGAUGGAUAGGGGUUCUGAGAGGAAGGUCCCCCACAUUGGUACUGAGACACGGACCAA
rnacentral:rRNA from 1 species